UUAACUCAAAUUUGUAUAGAGUUGGAACGCCUACGUUUGCCGCCAGGGGCGCUGUUCCAACUGCAUACAAGUUUGAGUUA
rnacentral:pre_miRNA from 1 species